rfam:Mahella australiensis 50-1 BON, complete genome.
CAAGCAAGCUGGGUGAUCGCGUGUGCAGUUGUGCAUACGAGGAAAGUCCGAGCUCCAUAGGGCAGGAUGCCGGGUAAUGCCCGGUGGAGGCGACUCCAAGGAUAGUGCAACAGAAAUAGACUGCCGAUGGAUCCAUAAGAUCCAGGCGAUGGUGGAAAGGUGAGGUAAGAGCUCACCAGCAUCCAGGCGACUGGUUGGCUAUGUAAACCCCAUCUGGAGCAAGACAUAAUAGGAGGGACCAAAAUAGCGGCCCGCUAUUCCCUCGGGUGUAGUCGCUAGAGGCAUCAGGUAACUGAUGUCGUAGAUAGAUGAUCAUCCUAGACAGAACUCGGCUUAUAGGCUUGCUUGCGAA